GACGAACGCUGGCGGCGUGCUUAACACAUGCAAGUCGAACGGUAAGGCCCUUCGGGGUACACGAGUGGCGAACGGGUGAGUAACACGUGGGUGAUCUGCCCUGCACUUCGGGAUAAGCCUGGGAAACUGGGUCUAAUACCGGAUAGGACCACUGCCUGCAUGGGUGGUGGUGGAAAGCUUUUGCGGUGUGGGAUGGGCCCGCGGCCUAUCAGCUUGUUGGUGGGGUGAUGGCCUACCAAGGCGACGACGGGUAGCCGGCCUGAGAGGGUGACCGGCAACACUGGGACUGAGAGACGGCCCAGACUCCUACGGGAGGCAGCAGUGGGGAAUAUUGAACAAUGGGCGCAAGCCUGAUGCAGCGACGCCGCGUGAGGGAUGACGGCCUUCGGGUUGUAAACCUCUUUCAGCACCGACGAAGCGCAAGUGACGGUAGGUGCAGAAGAAGGACCGGCCAACUACGUGCCAGCCGCCGCCGCAG
rnacentral:rRNA from 1 species